rnacentral:rRNA from 1 species
UCGGAUUAGCUAGUUGGUGAGGUAAUGGCUCACCAAGGCGACGAUCCGUAACUGGUCUGAGAGGAUGAUCAGUCACACUGGAACUGAGACACGGUCCAGACUCCUACGGGAGGCAGCAGUGGGGAAUAUUGGACAAUGGGCGAAAGGCCUGAUCCAGCCAUGCCGCGUGUGUGAAGAAGGUCUUCGGAUUGUAAAGCACUUUAAGUUGGGAGGAAGGGUAGUAACCUAAUACGUUGCUACUUUGACGUUACCGACAGAAUAAGCACCGGCUAACUUCGUG